rnacentral:lncRNA from 1 species
UGGCCAGCCUUAGAGGAAAGGAGAGGAGAUUUUUAUAGUGUGGAGGGGAGGUCAAAUCCUCUCCGGAUUCGACUUCCUCUCCGAUUUGCUCUCGUGGAAGAAGACCCUACGGGAGUCUUCAACGUUCUUCCUUUUUUUUUCAAAAGUGGGCUCCAAAAAUUUGGGCUUGGUCCAGGGCCCAAAUGGGCUGGGUUAUUAU